AUUGAACGCUAGCGGCAGGCCUAACACAUGCAAGUCGAACGAGUGGCGGACGGGUGAGUAAUGUAUCGGAACGUGACCGGUAGAGGGGGAUAACUACUGGAAACAGUAGCUAAUACCGCAUACCAUCGGAUGUGCCCAGAUGGGAUUAGCUAGUGGGUGGGGUAAAGGCUCACCUAGGCAACGAUCCCUAGCUGGUCUGCGAGGAUGACCAGCAACACUGGAACUGAGACACGGUCCAGCCUCCUACUGGAGGCAGCAGUGGGGAAUUUUGGACAAUGGGGGAAAGCCUGAUGCAGCCAUGCCGCGUGUAGGAUGAAGGCCUUCGGGUUGUAAAGUACUUUUAGCGGGGAGGCGUUACCCGCAGAAGAAGCACCGGCUAACUACGUGCCAGCAGCCGCGGUAAUUC
rnacentral:rRNA from 1 species